UUCAAAAACCCGAGUUGUUCCACCUAAUCGCGUACCACGUGCUCGUUCCAUGUUCGUGCACAUCGAGAGUCGAAAAGUUAUCGAGAUCUUGGACAUCUAAAUGCUAUUGUAUCCAUUAUGCAGUUGGCAUGAAUGAAAAAGCAGUGCGAACCAAAUUUGUCCAUGUCUGCUACAUCAGCGAAUUCUGUUUACAAGGCCAACACAUUUGAGUCAUUGACUAAAUAGCAAACGGCAAACCAAAUUUUUUAUCCUGACACCUGCCCAAGUCCAUCAAACUCCUUUGGGAGAUGGAAGUUCCACAACCAGUGUUGUGGUGUCUCCGGCCAUUGGAUUCUCCUUCUCCUAACCCAAGGUUCAACAAAACAACCACCUUAAUUUC
rnacentral:lncRNA from 1 species